rnacentral:RNase_P_RNA from 1 species
GUCGAAGUAAGCUCGCUGGCGGGGGCAAUUGCACCCGGGGAAGGUCUGAGAGGUCACUGUUUUCAGUUCGCCUCGAGAUGGGGCGGGUGGCGCAAGCCACUGCCGGGAACCAGAAAGCUCUCCAUCAGAUGCAUCGGCUGGGCGAUCUCCUUCGGGAGGGACAGUUGUGUCUGAUGGAUUGGGAUAAGCCGGUGACCAGCGCUGUGAGAUCAAUGUUGCGAGGCCGUGCGGAGCGGUAACCCAAUUCAGACUACUCUUCUUCAAC